GAAAUCACAACUCUCAUUCAGGUGUAAAGUGCACCCUAAAGAUAAUCAAUAAUCACUGAGGGAAACAAGCAGAUGUUACAACAGGUCCAAAAGAGAACCUGGACAGAGCGCCUGAGAGAUCAGGAAUAAAGAUAUGGAUAUACAAAGGAGGCAAACUGAUUUCUUCCAGAGUAGGAACGGAAAGGAAAAUCAAUCGAACCUCUGCCAGACAGGGUAGAAUUUGCAUGUCUCCAGACAAUAAUUUUUUUUUAUUGCUAUCAAUUCCCACAGUUUACAGAAUUGUAAAAUAGCGUAGUUUUCUACUGAAGCACAAAUGAAAGGUGUUACUUUUGCUUCACCUGGAUAAGUGGGAUGCAAAAUGGUCUUCGAGAUUCUGGGGUUUGGGGAAGUGUAGCCUGAGCCUAGCCCUGAGGAGAAUGCUCUGCUGGUUUUGAUUUGGCAGGCGUGGAAUGAAGCUUGGCAUCUGUAUUUUUUAAUAGUUUCAUGUGGCACCCCAUUUGAGAACCAAUCUGUUGAUGUAAGUUAACAUUCAGUUUCCAUCCUAAAGGAGAGCCUAAUUUAAGAAUAAUCCAAACCCUUACCUAAAUAUUUUCUGUAAAAAAAAACCCCCACUUCUAUUGGUUUGAGGUCUAUUCUAUAGUAUUUUGGAGGCAGAAGGUUUACUUUCCCAGUUCUGUUCUAACUCCAGUUCGUUCAGCCAUCCCUAUCAGGGAGACAGUCCUUCAGGUAUGUGGAUCAAGGGGAAAUCCCUACAUGUUCCCGGAUGACUCUGCUGCCUCGGCCUUUUAGAAUAUCCCCUGCUUGUCUUCAAACCCCCGACUCAAGCCAGGUGGCGGAGGGGGCUUCUACCUGGUUAAGGCUGAAGCGAGGGCACAGCUGGCCAGCAGGGGGCAGUGCAGGCUCAGGCUGGUGCCGCUCACACCUGCCUGCCUUCCUCAGCCUGAACAUUUCCUUGUUCGCCUGAGCCUGGAAACUAUGCUUGUCUCAUCAAGGUGUGAUAGAAAGCACACAGUUCAGUUCAGUGCAAUAUAUCCUGAACUUUGCAUGCUACAUAAGUGACCUUGGGAAGUUACUCAACUUCUCUGUGCCCAAGUGUCCUCGUUUGCAAAAUAGAAAUAAUUUUACCCAUCUCUUAGGAAUAAAUAAGAGUAAUACGUGCAAAAAACACUUGACGCAGCGGUUGGCAUACAUUAAUGCUACAAAAUGUUAGCUGUUAUUUUUGUCAUUGUUAGUGUUUACCAGGCACUGUAGGCUCCUGAACGAAUGAGACAGUCCCUUAGAUCUCACAGCUUAAUGAGGCGGAGAGGAAAAUAUGUAAUAUUGUAAAGAAAAAGAUGUGCAUGGUUGUAGAUGGGGUAUGGAGGCAGAAGUAACCAAAACACCACUUACCAGAGGAAGAAGUGCUGGAAGAUGGCUUUUAGGAAUGAAUAAGACAGAGGGGCUUUGGGCUUUGGGAGGCAAGGCAGGGGACAGCAUUCCAAACAAAGAGGGCAGCAAAUAGAAACCAGGAGGUCUGAGAGCUUGAAGGUCAAAGUCUUCCACCGGACCAGCUCUAAGAGAAAGGGAAGAAAUCAAGGAAAAAGAGGAGAGCUAGCCAGGGGCCCAAUCAUGAGGAGCCUUGAAAGUCAGCCAUAUGUACUUGGACUUAACGCUGUGGGUCUCUGGUCUCCAAGCUAGUACACACAAUCUCCACUGCAGUGUAAGGAAAAAAAUAUUAGAACUUCAUUUUACUUGUAAAUAUCAUCUUUGGGGGACUUUCUUUUUCUAUAUCUUAUAUAAGUUGUAAAGAAUAUAUCAGUACAAUAGUACCCAGAUAUAAUUUAUAAGUAAAUGUUUAUAUAUUGGCUUGCAUGCAAGUUUUGUAACAGACUGUGCGGAGCCACCAAAGACGGCUUUUAAUCAGGGAAGUACCUUAGUCAAAUUAGCUGGCCCAAGCCAAGACCUUGGCAUUGGGGAUGGAGAGGAAGUGGAUUUGAGUGCUAUUAAGGAAGUAUAAUUCCAUUAACAAGGAGGAGUGUAUGAUCAGUAAAAGUAGUGCCAAGUAGAGAGCUUGAGGAGCUCAAUAUUAAAUGCUCAGUGCAAGACAAAUACUUGGAGAAUAUCAAGUACCAGAUACUGGUGGCUAUAAGCAUUUUUUAUUACAGCAAAGCUAAGUAAAUUUAAAAAAAUAAGUUAUAUUGGGAUGGUGAAAGUGAACUUGUAUAGAUCAUGAGAAGGCUGCUAGGAAGGAACCAGAUAGCACUCUUGGCUAAGAAGGAUAGGAGACAGGGCCAAUCAUUGCAGAAGGAAGGGAGGCUAUUUUUCUAGAAGGAAGAGACUUAAGCAUAUCUGUAGGCUCAAGAGAAAGGGGAUCAAUGAAGGGAUCAAAAAUAGAAACAGCUUCUCCAGUACGGAUCUCAGGGCCUGCUCUUUUGGCAGUACCUGCCCACUGCGCCCCUCAUCAGAGAAACCCCUCCUCUUGUCCAGUACUCAUUUAGAACGUGAGUUAAAAAGCAUGACUCUUAUACAAAUAUCAAGUGAGUAUAUGUCAAAGAUUUAUUUCAUUUAUCAAUGAUAGAACAGCAGUCUGAGAAAACUGGUUCAGUUGCUAUACUUCUAUAAAAAAGAAAAAAACUGGUUCAGAGGUCAAAAAGACAGAAAGCUAAAAUAAAGGAUGGCCAAGUCAGCUCCCAAACUGGGUAAUGUCUUGCAGGUGGGGUGACCAACAGCCUGUUGGCCUCAGAGCAGUCCCAGUUUAGCACAUAAAAGUUCCUUAUCCUGGGAAACCACUCAGGCCCCAGGCAAAUGGGAGCAGUUGGUCACCCAACCUACAGGGCAAUGAACUACAAACUUUGACACGAUUCUUUCUACUAGACCAGAAAUCAUCCGCAUCUUUUCUUCACAAAAAGCAUUUUCAGUUGACCAAUCUAAAAGACCAUCUAAUUUGAUGGAGCCUGAGAUCAAGAUCAAGGAGUAAGUCAAGCAAAGACACACUGAAUCAGUGACGUAGGAACAGAUCUGUUCCGCAGUGCUCCAUGUAUCACUGAAGACAGGCAGUUAUCCUUUGCCUCAUUUCCAAGUGUUGAAUUUCUUAGCACUCUACAAAAUCAUAACAGAACAGUUUCUAUACCUCAUCCAUAGGCACCAAUUUCUCCAGAGGAAAGAGAAGUUAAGAGCAGACUCUGGGGACUCCUCUUGGUGUAAGCUGUCCACUCGCAUGAUAAUUAUCCCUCCCACAGUAUCCGCCAUUCCCAAAGGUGGCAGAGGGUUUAGAGCCCAGGCAGGUUAGCGCUCAGGCUCAAGGGACUGGGCCCACAUGGAUAACCCAGGAUAAUUUUUCUAUUUUAAGAUACUUAAUCACAUCUCCAAAGUUGCUUUUGCAUGCAAAUUCACGGGUUCCACGGGGUAGGAUGUGGACAUCUUUGCAGGAGGUCAUUGUUUGGGUCACCACACAGCGGGCCAGGUGUUCAGGAGUGGCUUGGCUGGGUGGUUCGUGGCUGUCCCACAAGAUUGCAGCCAGGGUUUGGCUGGGGCUGCGGUCAUCUAGGCUGUAGUGGGGAGGGAGGAUCUGCUCUAGAGGUCAUUCACUCGCUUUGGAGAUAAAGGCUUUACAGGAGUGAUCAAAUUAAAAUGAGGUCAUUAGGAUGGGCCUUAACCCAAUAUGACUGGUGCCAUUAUAAAAGGGGAAAUUUGGAUUUAGAAAUAUGGACAUGCAUAGAGGGAAGACCAUGUGAAGAGAUACAGGCAGAAGACGGACACCUACAAGCCAGCGAGAGAGGCCUGGAUCACCCCUAUGCUCCCAGCCCUCAGGAGGAACCGGCCCUGCUGACACCUUGACCUCAGACUUGUAGCCUCCGGAACUGAGAAAAAACAUCAACCAAACCCAAAUUGAGGAAUGUUCUACUCAAACCUGCCAAGGUCAUGAAAAAUAAGGAGAGCCUGAGAAACGGCCACAGACCAGAUGACGCUCUCAGAUCAGAUUAGAUUCAGGAGAUAGGAGGUAAAAUGGUAUCCUGGAUGGGGUCCUUGAACGGCAAAAGGAGGGGCAGACUUGUGUGGUGGAACCUGGAGCCAGAUAGUAAGACUGGAAUGCCCACUCACCACUCACCACUCACCACUGUGUGACCUCAUUUUCAUCUGUCAGAUUCAAUUGUCAGCUACCGAAUGAGGGCAUAUCCAAGGGGAUGACCUGAUACAGAAGCCACUGUCCCCUUCACACCCCCUGGGCCCUGAAGAUCCUGCGUCAGCUGCGCUAUUUGCAGGACCAUCCUCCCAAAUCCUGUGCUGCUGGUUGGUCUUUGAUCUGUAAACCUGAGUCUGAGCCAGCCAGGUUGAGACAGAGCCAGCCGGGUGGGUGAUCUCAGAGCAGCUGUUUCAUUGUUCUGCAGUUGCUUCCUAGGCCUGGGCCUCCCCAAAGGACAGGAUGGGCCCCCUUGACAGACAGGUGAGGUGCUUAAACAGAUCAUUCACAAAACUCCAAGAACUAAUAAGUGUGUGAAAAGGGACCAUCCUCACUCAAAUAAUAAAAGAACAGAAAUGACAGCGAUACUUUAACACCAUAUUUUUCCCUCUGUCAAUCAGUUUGGCAAAGAUCGUUUUAGAAAAUAAUUCCCAGAGUUUGCAAACAAUUACUGAUAGGAAGGUAAUUGGCCUUUCUGAAAGCAAGCUGGCCAUGUGUAUCAGAAACUGUAAAAAUGUGCAUUCUAGAAUAGAAUAUUCCAUAAAAGGUUCAGGACAAAAUAGGAAUUUAGCACAGGGUAAAGGCGACAUUUCAAAAUAACAAAGAGAAUCUUCUAUUUCUGACAAUGCUGAGGUCAGGAUGAUCUGGAGAACAUCUGGGAAUGUUGGAUAAAAUAUGACACAAUGGCUGACGAAACUCCAAAGAUAAAAAAGGAAUGCCCCAGGAACCAAACAAGGAGAAAGAAGUGAGAACCAGAGCUAAGGGUGAGUUGACAGUGCUGCUGCCCUAGAGGGAACUUUCUGAAGAAUCUAAGGUUCCUGUUUUAAUGUCCAAGUGGCGACAGAACACCAAGCCUAUAGGCUCCGUGGGUAUGGGAAGAAAGUUGAAUCUGAGUCCAUGUAAAGGUGGGAUCCUUGAAAGUCUACAUCUUUCAAGUGGCAGAAAUCAGUCACAAUUACUUCUAACUUCCAGAAAACCCCAUGCUUGCUCGACUUAACUCUUGCAAAGGCCAACAUCAAGAAGAAGGGUCUUAACCUCUGAGAUUCUGUCCACCUAGAGAACCCCUCCUAUAGCAUUCAGUUGAUUCAAGCAGGAUAUGCUGUCCUGACAGUCUGAAAUCCAAGAGGUUGUCAAAAUAAGACAUAUUUGUAUCAUCUGUUCUUCCUAUAGUCUAUCACUGAUCAAUGUGGCACGUCUAUCAGUAUUUGAAAUGUGAUUCUACUUCUAGGAAACUAUCCACAAAUUGCAGGAUGCUCAUAAAA